rnacentral:ncRNA from 2 species
UUUGAAUGGCUGGGGUGCCGGUCCCUCGAUGGACCGGCUGAGAUCAUACCCAUCGAACCUGUUCGGGUCAUGCCGACGAAGGGAGCCUCGUGACGACGACG